rnacentral:tRNA from 1 species
GGUAGUUUAGUGGUAGAGCACUUAUCUAGUACAUAUGAGGUCUUAGGUUCAAUCCCUAGUACCA